rnacentral:tRNA from 1 species
GCUUCUUUAGCUCAAUUGGUAGAGCAGAUGACUUUUAAUCAUUGGGUUGCAAGUUCGAGUCUUGUAGGAGGCA